UACGUAGGGCGCAAGCGUUGUCCGGAAUUAUUGGGCGUAAAGAGCUCGUAGGCGGCCAGUUGCGUCUGCUGUGAAAUCCCGGGGCUCAACCCCGGGCGUGCAGUGGAUACGGGCUGGCUAGAGGCAGGCAGGGGAGAACGGAAUUCCCGGUGUAGCGGUGAAAUGCGCAGAUAUCGGGAGGAACACCGGUGGCGAAGGCGGUUCUCUGGGCCGGUACCGACGCUGAGGAGCGAAAGCGUGGGGAGCGAACAGG
rnacentral:rRNA from 1 species